AAUCUUUUGACAUAUAUCGCGUGUUCACGGUAGGUAUUGGCUCGUGGCACUAUGUAGUACCACAGACAGUAUCUAACCUGAACACAGAUAUUUCAUCGUGAA